rnacentral:piRNA from 1 species
UAGCCUUCAGUUAAUGCCAUGAUGA